rnacentral:rRNA from 1 species
GACGAACGCUGGCGGCGUGCUUAACACAUGCAAGUCGAACGGAAAGGCCCUGCUUUUGUGGGGUGCUCGAGUGGCGAACGGGUGAGUAACACGUGAGUAACCUGCCCUUGACUUUGGGAUAACUUCAGGAAACUGGGGCUAAUACCGGAUAGGAGCCCCUGCUGCAUGGUGGGGGUUGGAACGUUUCGGCGGUUGGGGAUGGACUCGCGGCUUAUCAGCUUGUUGGUGGGGUAGUGGCUUACCAAGGGUUUGACGGGUCGCCGGCCUGAGAGGGUGACCGGCCACAUUGGGACUGAGAGACGGCCCAGACUCCUACGGGAGGCAGCAGUGGGGAAUAUUGCACAAUGGGCGGAAGCCUGAUGCAGCAACGCCGCGUGCGGGAUGACGGCCUUCGGGUUGUAAACCGCUUUCGCCUGUGACGAAGCGUGAGUGACGGUAAUGGGUAAAGAAGCACCGGCUAACUACGUG